GCGGCGCGGCUUCACCUGGCGGCGGCCCUACCUGGAGGCUGCCGCGCUCCGCCCGCCCAGCCCCGCGCGAAGCCGAGAGCCCGGGCGCUGGCGUGGUCCGGGCAAUUGGGAAAGCAGUGCCCGGAGCCACGGGCAGGGGAGAUGAAAGGCGGGCGGCGGGCGUGGGCGGUCAGCAGCACCAGCAGACGGAGCCUCAUUUCCAUUAUGAAUCGGUCUCCCUCACAUCUCAAACACCCUGGCUCAUCUCUUCAUCACCCUCAUCCCCUGAUGUGCUUUUCUUGCAUGUGGUAGGUGCUCCAUAGGUGUCUUUGAGAACUGUCACACCUACUGACAGGUCACCCCCUGUGAUUCACCCUCUGCUUUCUUCUGUCACCAGCCAUUCACCAGCCACAAGAAGACGGCCAUCUGCAAGCCAGGAAGAGAGCCCUCACCAGAGACUGACCCUGCAGACACCUUGAUCUUGGACUUCCAGCCUCCAGAACUGUGAGAAAAUAAAUGUCUGUAGUUUAAGCCACUUGGUGUAUGGUACUUUGUUAAUGGCUGCCUGAGUAGACUUAGG
rnacentral:lncRNA from 10 species